GACGAACGCUGGCGGCGUGCCUAAUACAUGCAAGUAGAACGCUGAAGAGAGGAGCUUACUCUUCUUGGAUGAGUUGCGAACGGGUGAGUAACGCGUAGGUAACCUGCCUUGUAGCGGGGGAUAACUAUUGGAAACGAUAGCUAAUACCGCAUAACAAUGGAUGACACAUGUCAUUUAUUUGAAAGGGGCAAUUGCUCCACUACAAGAUGGACCUGCGUUGUAUUAGCUAGUAGGUGAGGUAAUGGCUCACCUAGGCGACGAUACAGAGCCGGCCUGAGAGGGUGAUCGGCCACACUGGGACUGAGACACGGCCCAGACUCCUACGGGAGGCAGCAGUAGGGAAUCUUCGGCAAUGGGGGCAACCCUGACCGAGCAACGCCGCGUGAGUGAAGAAGGUUUUCGGAUCGUAAAGCUCUGUUGUAAGUCAAGAACGGGUGUGAGAGUGGAAAGUUCACACUGUGACGGUAGCUUACCAGAAAGGGACGGCUAACUACGUG
rnacentral:rRNA from 1 species